rnacentral:rRNA from 1 species
UCGGGAAUUUUGGGCAAUGGGCGAAAGCCUGACCCAGCAACGCCGCGUUGAAGGAUGAAGUAUUUCGGUAUGUAAACUUCGAAAGAAUAGGAAGAAUAAAUGACGGUACUAUUUAUAAGGUCCGGCUAACUACGUGCCAGCAGCCGCGGUAAUACGUAGGGACCAAGCGUUGUUCGGAUUUACUGGGCGUAAAGGGCGCGUAGGCGGCAAUUCAAGUCAUCUGUGAAAUCUCCGAGCUUAACUCGGAACGGUCAACUGAUACUGUCACACUAGAGUACAGAAGGGGCAAUCGGAAUUCUUGGUGUAGCGGUGAAAUGCGUAGAUAUCAAGAGGAACACCUGAGGCGAAGGCGGGUUGCUGGGCUGAUACUGACGCUGAGGCGCGAAAGCUAGGGUAGCAAACGGGAUUAGAUACCCAGGUAGUCCCUGAGCGGGCUGGCAAGGCGCAU